rnacentral:sRNA from 1 species
CGCACAUGGCGACUCAGGCGCACUCCCUCAGCUACGCAGGGUGCAACUUCUUGCGCCAACGUCUGGUCCUGUCUACUCUGAGCGGGCGCCCCGUCAAAAUCCGAAAGAUUCGGGCCAGAGAAGACAACCCGGGCCUCCGAGUUUUGAAGCCAGCUUCAUAAGGCUAUUGGACAAAAUAACGAAUGGUUCUCGAAUUGAAAUAAACCAAACAGGUUGAUGUUCUUAAGGCAACAGCACUCCCUUUGUUGAAACAAUUUGGGAUUGAUGGUGAAUCAUUUGAACUGAAGAAUGACAUCCUUAACUCCAGGCUGCAGGUACUCUGUACGUGUGUCACCUCAGAUGGCGAACCGGAUUGUGGAUUCUGCAAGGAGCAUCCUCAACAAGUUCAUACCUGAUAUCUAUAUUUACACAGAUCACAUGAAAGGAGUCAACUCUGGGAA